rfam:Papio anubis isolate 1X1155 chromosome 19, whole genome shotgun sequence.
GCCGGGCAUGGGGACACAUGCCUGUAGUCCCAGCUACUCGGGAGGCUGAGGUGGGAGGAUCUCUUGAGCCCAGGAGUUCAAGGCUGCAGUGAGCCAUGAUCACACCUCUGCACUCCAGCCUGGGCGACACAGUGGGACCCUGUCUCUG